rnacentral:rRNA from 1 species
GUCCACGCAGUAAACGAUGAAUACUAACUGUAUGCGAUAUACUGUAUGCGGUACAGCGAAAGCGUUAAGUAUUCCACCUGGGGAGUACGUUCGCAAGAAUGAAACUCAAAGGAAUUGACGGGGGCCCGCACAAGCGGAGGAACAUGUGGUUUAAUUCGAUGAUACGCGAGGAACCUUACCCGGGCUUGAAAUGCAGAAGACCGACGAAGAAAUUCGUUUUCCAGCAAUGGCUUCUGUGUAGGUGCUGCAUGGUUGUCGU